rnacentral:rRNA from 1 species
GGGGGGGGGGGGGGGGGGGGGGGGGGGGGGGGGGGCGGGGGGGGGCGGCGGGGCGGGCGGCGGGGGGGUGAGUAACGCGUGGGAAGGUGCCCUUCUCUACGGAAUAGCCCUGGGAAACUGGGAGUAAUACCGUAUACGCCCUAUUGGGGAAAGAUUUAUCGGAGAAGGAUCAGCCCGCGUUGGAUUAGGUAGUUGGUGGGGUAAUGGCCUACCAAGCCGACGAUCCAUAGCUGGUUUGAGAGGAUGAUCAGCCACACUGGGACUGAGACACGGCCCAGACUCCUACGGGAGGCAGCAGUGGGGAAUCUUAGACAAUGGGGGCAACCCUGAUCUAGCCAUGCCGCGUGAGUGAUGAAGGCCUUAGGGUUGUAAAGCUCUUUCAGCUGGGAAGAUAAUGACGGUACCAGCAGAAGAAGCCCCGGCUAACUCCGUG